GCCGGGAUGACGGAAUGGUAGACGUACUCGACUCAAAAUCGAGCGCUGCGAGGCAUGGGGGUUCGAGUCCCCCUCCCGGUA
rnacentral:tRNA from 1 species